rnacentral:rRNA from 1 species
ACCUUUUGUAUAAUGGGUCAGCGACUUAUAUUCUGUAGCAAGGUUAACCGAAUAGGGGAGCCGGAGGGAAACCGAGUCUUAACCGGGCGUUAAGUUGCAGGGUAUAGACCCGAAACCCGGUGAUCUAGCCAUGGGCAGGUUGAAGGUUGGGUAACACUAACUGGAGGACCGAACCGACUAAUGUUGAAAAAUUAGCGGAUGACCUGUGGCUGGGGGUGAAAGGCCAAUCAAACCGGGAGAUAGCUGGUUCUCCCCGAAAGCUAUUUAGGUAGCGCCUCGUGAAUUCAUCUCCGGGGGUAGAGCACUGUUUCGGCUAGGGGGCCAUCCCGGCUUACCAACCCGAUGCAAACUGCGAAUACCGGAGAAUGUUAUCACGGGAGACACACGGCGGGUGCUAACGUCCGUCGUGAAGAGGGAAACAACCCAGACCGCCAGCUAAGGUCCCAAAGUCAUGGUUAAGUGGGAAACGAUGUGGGAAGGCCCAGACAGCCAGGAUGUUGGCUUAGAAGCAGCCAUCAUUUAAAGAAAGCGUAAUAGCUCACUGGUCGAGUCGGCCUGCGCGGAAGAUGUAACGGGGCUAAACCAUGCACCGAAGCUGCGGCAGCGACACUAUGUGUUGUUGGGUAGGGGAGCGUUCUGUAAGCCUGUGAAGGUGGCCUGUGAGGGUUGCUGGAGGUAUCAGAAGUGCGAAUGCUGACAUAAGUAACGAUAAAGCGGGUGAAAAGCCCGCUCGCCGGAAGACCAAGGGUUCCUGUCCAACGUUAAUCGGGGCAGGGUGAGUCGACCCCUAAGGCGAGGCCGAAAGGCGUAGUCGAUGGGAAACGGGUUAAUAUUCCCGUACUUGGUGUUACUGCGAAGGGGGGACGGAGAAGGCUAUGUUGGCCGGGCGACGGUUGUCCCGGUUUAAGCGUGUAGGCUGGUUUUCCAGGCAAAUCCGGAAAAUCAAGGCUGAGGCGUGAUGACGAGGCACUACGGUGCUGAAGCAACAAAUGCCCUGCUUCCAGGAAAAGCCUCUAAGCAUCAGGUAACACGAAAUCGUACCCCAAACCGACACAGGUGGUCAGGUAGAGAAUACCAAGGCGCUUGAGAGAACUCGGGUGAAGGAACUAGGCAAAAUGGUGCCGUAACUUCGGGAGAAGGCACGCUGACAUGUAGGUGAAGUGAUUUACUCAUGGAGCUGAAGUCAGUCGAAGAUACCAGCUGGCUGCAACUGUUUAUUAAAAACACAGCACUGUGCAAACACGAAAGUGGACGUAUACGGUGUGACGCCUGCCCGGUGCCGGAAGGUUAAUUGAUGGGGUCAGCGCAAGCGAAGCUCCUGAUCGAAGCCCCGGUAAACGGCGGCCGUAACUAUAACGGUCCUAAGGUAGCGAAAUUCCUUGUCGGGUAAGUUCCGACCUGCACGAAUGGCGUAAUGAUGGCCAGGCUGUCUCCACCCGAGACUCAGUGAAAUUGAACUCGCUGUGAAGAUGCAGUGUACCCGCGGCAAGACGGAAAGACCCCGUGAACCUUUACUAUAGCUUGACACUGAACAUUGAGCCUUGAUGUGUAGGAUAGGUGGGAGGCUUUGAAGUGUGGACGCCAGUCUGCAUGGAGCCG